GCAAUUUGGUCGAUUACAAUUUAGGGCUACUGUUUCACUUGAGCGGGGCUACGCAUCACUUAUCCUAAACCAACAAAGCCCCUCCCCAUUCUCUGUGAACACCGGCAACCUGUAAAUCUUUGUUCCAGGUGUAGAGACGUGGACCUUCAACCGUGUUCAAUCCUUCCAUCUUCACCGAAAUCAGUCGACAACAUCGUGUUCAAUCCUUCCAUCUACAGCUCAGACUUCCGACUUCCGACAUCUAUACAUUCAUAGUUCAAUCUUCGACCUCAAUCGACCAAAAAUUGAAGAAAGAGAAAAAUGAAAUCAAGAUUGUUUAGUAUUUGCUGUUAUUGUGGUUAAAGAGGAAACAGUUUCGAAUUCUUACAAAGGACUGAAUUUCUACCACUAAUCCAAAGUUUCUAGAACCAGAGACUAUUAAGAAUGGAGAAAUUAGACGAUUUAGAAGAGACUUCUGAUUUGGGAUUUGAGUCAUCAACGAUUUCUGCAUUGGAUCAAGGAGCGGAUAAUUCUUUUGCUCACUAUACAACUUACCUCAGGUACAAAUGCACAAGUCAUCUAUGCCAACCAACCAAUCAUAUGCUUAUCUUGAUCCGCUUUAAGGACAUAAUUUGUAACCCAAGAUCUUGUAAAAGAGGUUAGAGCUGCAAACAAAAUACACACAAGAAGAGGUGGAAUAUGACUUACAAUUGGUAAUUGAUAAGGUUAAAGAAAAAUUGAGAGACAUAAAGAGCCUUGAAGUAUCUCUAUGGAGUACUCCCUUCUAUGAUAUCAAGGUUAUGUUGCUGAUGAAGUGUCAUGGUAAAAGGAAAUGGCACCAUUUUUUUAGUAGGCCUGCCACUUGUGAAAGUUAGCUAUUGGUUCAUCUUUGUUUAAGUAGUGGAUAAAGAAAAUUCAAAGUGAAAAAGGACUCCCUGUGGAUGGAUUUUUGUCUCUAAAACAAGUACACAUUCAGUUGUUGAUAUAGGAGUUGACAUAUUUGGCAACCGUCUUGGCUUUGUCGAGUUUAAAGCAAAUGUAAUUGAAAUGGAAACAUGACAAAAGGUGUGGAAUCCACGAGCUAAUCAAGAAGGAAUUCUCUAUUGGUUGUUGACAAUAUUUUACAAUAUGGAUUGAAAUUUAUGGUAUUUGAUAACAUGGAUUGAAAUUUAUAGAUUUAAUGUAUGUCAAAUGAUUGAAAUUUAUGGAUUUACUUUUAUA